rnacentral:rRNA from 1 species
UACGGGGGGAGCAAGCGUUGUUCGGAUUUACUGGGCGUAAAGGGCGCGUAGGCGGCGCAACAAGUCACUUGUGAAAUCUCCGGGCUUAACUCGGAACGGCCAAGUGAAACUGUCAAACUAGAGUGCAGAAGGGGCAAUCGGAAUUCUUGGUGUAGCGGUGAAAUGCGUAGAUAUCGGAAGGAACACCGGUGGCGAAAGCGGCACGCUGGACAUCUACUGACGCUGAGGCGCGAAAGCCAGGGGAGCAAAGCGGG